ACAACUAGUGAGUUCUCAGUUUAGACUGUGAGGUUAUGCUUGUUUAGGACACAGGACAGAAUCACAGAUUCUUAAAAAUGAAAAUAGCCCUGGAAAUCAUAUCAGAGUCAUUACACAAUACAACUCCAAGGUACAGAUUCACAUCAGAUUUUAUAUAUGUAAUACCUGUGGUAUAUGCAGUAUUGCCUAGAUCAUGUAGUCAUCCCAUAAAUCAUAUACAACAGAACCAUCUGUAGACAUGCACAGAGGUCCCACUUUACACAGCCUUUGUGAAUCUAAAUAUCUGAAACUGAGACCCAAGAAUCUAUAUUAAUGUAAUUUCCCUAGGAUACCUAAAGGCACAGCCAGGUUUAGACCAGUUUUUGUCAACUGAUAAAGCUAGAAUAGUAAUAAUGAAAAGAAUGGUAAAAUAAUUAUAGCCAUUAUUGGUGUUUAUCGCCCAAUACUGUUAUUAGUUAACAUGCAUUGUCUUAAUUUAAUUUUGAGAGAUAUUAUUCAUAGUGUUAUCCACUUAUCACAAACAUAGAAAGAGAGGGAGUUGGAAUAACCCUCUAAAGUUACCCACCUAGAGCUGGCCAGGGCAGAGCUGCUCAAGCUCCAGCAUGCCACAACAUAGCUGUGAAGAACACACCAAGUUAUACAGAAGCAAAAUGUUCACUUCUGCUACAGAGCCAAUAAUCAUAUCACUGAUUUUCUUUAUUUUAUUUUAUUUUAUUUUUUUAAUUUAUUUGACAGGUAGAGUUAUAAACAGUGAGAGAGACAGAAAGGUCUUCCUUCCAUUGGUUCACUCCACAAAUGGCCGGUACAGCUGGCACUGUGCCGAUCCAAAGCCAGGAGCCUGGUGCUUCCUCCCAGUCUCCCAUGUGGGUGCAGGGGCCCAAGCACUUGGGCCAUCCUCCACUGCCCUCCUGGGCCACAGCAGAGAGCUGGACUAGAAGAGGAGCAACCAGGACUAGAACCUGGUGCCCAUAUGGGUGCCAGCGUCACAGGCAGAAGAUUAACCAAGUGAACCAUGGCGCCAGCCCCAGAUCACUGUUUUUGUUUUUUUUUUUUUUUAUGUGUAAAGCAUCUGCCAUCAGUCCUUGGGAAAACAUUUUUCAUUCAUUUCACUGAAAUAAGUGUGCCAGGAGCAAGAGACAAGUGGGAGAGCCAUAUAUAUUUUCCUCCAAGAAGUGCCCUUGGAGGUGGUCACCUGAAGUGUGGAUGCGCCUGACUAUAGCCUCUCAGCCAGGGCUCUCCCAGACUAGCACACUUCAUCUCCACCAGACCCAAAAAGUGGAUUCCUUUAUGUCCAAUGUAGCCUAGAAAGCUCCCCCAUGGUUGACUCUCAUUUUUAUCUGCUCUGGAGGAGCAGGGACUGGAUCCAGCUCCACAAGGGAGACUGAAUACUGCCAUUGACUUGUGGGUACAUUUAUGCAGUCUUCAUUAUAUCUUGCCUUUGUGCUAAGGAUGCUAAGGUUCUCCUUUAUAUUUGUUUAACAUAGAGAACACAGAACGUGGGCAAUGGCUCACAGAUAGAAACAUGAUUAUGCCCUGGUCCUGUCCCCUCCCUUCCACAGACUGAACAUUAUUGUUCCUUCCUGGGACACCCCCUUCUGCUGCCCCACCCUCUAUCCCUGCCUAACUCUUGCUAUUUCGCCUUUCAUUUCAGUGUCAUUGUCUCUCAGAAUUUUUUCUGACUGAUUGUUUGAACCCCACUUUCUGAAAUACUGUGAUUCCUAUUUAUAGUAGCUCAUCAUUGAUAUAACACUCGCUCUCAACCAGAUACUGCUUCCAUUGCUUUACAUAUGGUAACUGAUUUAUGUAGAGUGUUGUUGGCUGAGAAAUAAUAGGCUCAGAGAUAGUAAGAGAUUGAGAUCGCACAGCUAGUAAAAGGCAAAGGCUAGUUUAGAAUCCAGAAUUCUUGUUCCAGAAUCUGUGAAAGAUGCAGUGUAUUUGGGACAACAUUUUCUGAUGUGUGUUUGGGGAUGCAAAAAUAAAACCAAAAUUCUAUAGUUAACUGUAUAUUAGACCUACAUACUGAGGGCAACUGGUCUGUACUUCCAUGGGGACAUCCCCUUCCUUCCUCGAUAUCACACUCUACCUGUGUUUCUAGGACUUUCUCUCACUACAAGUUUGAAUUUGCUUCAGAACCACAUGUCUAGUAGCAAAUGUAUGGGCACUUUAGGUUGGACAGUGUACUUAAUCUCAAGGAUUAUCAGGGAGCACUAGAGCUUUCUUGGUAGUUAAAAGUCUAAGAUUCAUUUUCUUUCAUGAUUAAAUCUGUGUUAGUUAAGGAUCUUUUCUGGAAUGGUAGCCCAGUGUGACAGAAAGAUAUUUAAGAAAAUCUGUAACAGUGAUGGAACUGAUAAUUAAUGAUGCUUUUCAGGAAAAUCUCCAAUCAGGUGAUUAUUUUUCUCUAAGCUUGACUCAGACACUCCAAAGUUAGAAUCCUCAUAGUCAGGCCAGGUCUGAAGUUUUGCCCUGGACAGGUUACAUCCACCCUUUCUAAGCCCAGGUAUAUCAGACCUCACACUGUCCAUCUUACAAGAUGCUGUGCCUUCCUGGAUACUGCAUUCCCCAAAACCCUAUCCAUCUAUAAGCCUUCUUACCAGCCUCACAGUGCCUCUUUACAGUGGACUGUCUCAGGAACUCACACAUAAUUCUGUGCCUGCAGGGAACUUCCCAACACAGAUGUCCAGGAGCAGAGCUAUUUAAAAUCACCUGCUUGAGAACAGGAACUGAGCCUUUGUACAGCAAUGGAGAGCACUGCAAUCAAGUAGGGGCUCUAAGGGAAAGAAACAUGUUGUGAAAGUGUCCAAGAGACUCCAUCCCAGGAUACCUGCUGUUCUCUCCAAGAGGCCCUCGCCAUGGGUUUCAAAGGAGGUGAGAAUUAUCUUCCAGGACUCAGCAGGAGAAUCCAGUGCCUAAGACAUCACCCCAAGGGAAUGCUAGAGAAGAUGGGCUACUGCUAUUCCCCUGCGUGAUGAAGCCAGCACAGCGCUGGGGACGUCAUCCAGGAAAGCCAGGGCUGCAAAAGGAGGACGCACAGAGCAUGGGAGCCAUGUGAGUACUAACUGCUCCAAGUGAUGGAGUCAGCAUGGUGCACACAAGUAGAUGCCUUGGGUCAGGCCCUGGUGAACUGUGCCA